CACGAUCUUGGCUUACCGCAACUUCCGCCUCCCAGGCUCAAGCAAUUUUCCUGCCUCAGCCUCCUGAGUACCGGGGAUUACAGAGGAGAGUGAAAAGAAUGAGCAGCACACACUCAGCACUGAGGAAGGAAAUGUUCAUCUGGAGAAGACAGGCCCAAGAGUGACUGCUGUCUCCACACACCUAGUGGCACUCUUGGCCAGGAGGGACUGUCCUUUUCUGUGGUUCCAAAGGAAGAACCAGGAUCAAUGAGUGGAAAUUCAACGAACACUGACUUUGGUCAGGUGUUGAAUCCAACAGCAGUCCCUACUAAGCUUCCUGCACAGAUUCUGUUUCCUGGAGAACCUGAUGUACAACAGUUAAAGUGCAGAGAAACCCUCUGCCAAACUUUGGUGUGCUUUAAAAGUUAUGGCAGUCAGGCUCCCUUUACUGUCAUAACUGGAACACCUUUCACUUUUCAAAAGAGCUGGUGUAUCUGCUUGCUG
rnacentral:lncRNA from 10 species